ACUCCUACGGGAGGCAGCAGUAAGGAAUAUUGGACAAUGGGCGCAAGCCUGAUCCAGCCAUCCCGCGUGCAGGAAGACGGCGCUAUGCGUUGUAAACUGCUUUUAUAGGCGAAGAAACCCUCGGAUGCGUCCGGGGCUGACGGUAGCCUAAGAAUAAGCACCGGCUAACUCCGUGCCAGCAGCCGCGGUAA
rnacentral:rRNA from 1 species